rnacentral:rRNA from 1 species
GAUGAACGCUGGCGGCGUGCCUAACACAUGCAAGUCGAGCGAUCUUCUUCGGAAGAGAGCGGCGGACGGGUGAGUAACGCGUGGGUAACCUGCCCUGUACACACGGAUAACAUACCGAAAGGUAUGCUAAUACGGGAUAACAUAAGAAAUACGCAUGUUUUUCUUAUCAAAGCUCCGGCGGUACAGGAUGGACCCGCGUCUGAUUAGCUAGUGGGUGAGGUAACGGCUCACCAAGGCGACGAUCAGUAGCCGACCUGAGAGGGUGAUCGGCCACAUUGGAACUGAGACACGGUCCAAACUCCUACGGGAGGCAGCAGUGGGGAAUAUUGCACAAUGGGCGAAAGCCUGAUGCAGCAACGCCGCGUGAGCGAUGAAGGCCUUCGGGUCGUAAAGCUCUGUCCUCAAGGAAGAUAAUGACGGUACUUGAGGAGGAAGCCCCGGCUAACUACGUGCCAGCCGCCGCGUAAAAC